AGUGAACGCUGGCGGUAGGCCUAACACAUGCAAGUCGAACGGCAGCACAGUAAGAGCUUGCUCUUACGGGUGGCGAGUGGCGGACGGGUGAGGAAUACAUCGGAAUCUACUUUUUCGUGGGGGAUAACGUAGGGAAACUUACGCUAAUACCGCAUAAGACCUACGGGUGAAAGCAGGGGAUCUUCGGACCUUGCGCGAUUGAAUGAGCCGAUGUCGGAUUAGCUAGUUGGCGGGGUAAAGGCCCACCAAGGCGACGAUCCGUAGCUGGUCUGAGAGGAUGAUCAGCCACACUGGAAAUGAGACACGGUCCAGACUCCUACGGGAGGCAGCAGUUGGGAAUUUUAGUCAAUGGGCGCAAGCCUGUUCCAGCCAUACCGCGUGGGUGAAGAAGGCCUUCGGGUUGUAAAGCCCUUUUGUUGGGAAAGAAAAGCAGCAGGUUAAUACCCCGCUGUUCUGACGGUACCCUAAGAAUAAGCACCGGCUAGCUUCGUG
rnacentral:rRNA from 1 species